CUGAGUUAAUUGGGAAGAAGAAAACCAUUUGUGAAUCAUCUGGAAUCUGGUCAAAUCCUAGUCCAAUAUGUCAAAGCAAGAAAUCCAAGAGAAGUAUGAAUGACCCAUAUUAAAUCGCCCUUGGUGAAAGAAAAUUCUUGGAAUACUAAAAAUCAUGAGAUCCUUUAAAUCCUUCCAUGAAACGUUUUGUGUGGUGGCACCUCCUACGUCAAACAU
rnacentral:lncRNA from 1 species